CCCAGACUCCUACGGGAGGCAGCAGUGGGGAAUAUUGCACAAUGGGGGGAACCCUGAUGCAGCGACGCCGCGUGAGGGAAGAAGGUUUUUGGAUUGUAAACCUCUGUCCUUGGUAAAGAAGCAAGACGGUAGCCAAGGAGGAAGCCACGGCUAACUACGUGCCAGCAGCCGCGGUAAUACGUAGGUGGCAAGCGUUGUCCGGAAUUACUGGGUGUAAAGGGAGCGUAGGCGGUUAUGCAAGUUGAAUGUGAAAUCUAUCGGCUCAACUGAUAGGCUGCGUUCAAAACUGUAUAUCUUGAGUGAAGUAGAGGCAGGCGGAAUUCCUAGUGUAGCGGUGAAAUGCGUAAAUAUUAGGAGGAACACCAGUGGCGAAGGCGACUUUCUGGACUGUACCUGACGCUGAGGCGCGAAAGCGUGGGUAGCGAACGGGAUUAGAUACCCUCGUAUU
rnacentral:rRNA from 1 species